rnacentral:tRNA from 2 species
GGGCCUGUCGGUUAGCCAGGAUCGACCACCUGCCUCCUAAGCAGGUUCCCGUGCGUUCGAAUCGCACCAGGCCCG